rnacentral:rRNA from 1 species
GUUACUGCUAUCGAGAUUCGACUAAGCCAUGCGAGUUGAAUGUUCUUCGUGAACAUGGCGGACUGCUCAGUAACACGUGGACAACCUACCCUUGGGUCUGGCAUAAUCCUGGGAAACUGGGGAUAAUUCCGGAUAAACCACAGAUGCUGGAAUGCGCUGUGGCCCAAAGCUCCGGCGCCCAAGGAUGGGUCUGCGGCCUAUCAGGGUUGUAGUGGGUGUAAAGUACCUACUAGCCUACGACGGGUACGGGUUGUGAGAGCAAGAGCCCGGAGAUGGAUUCUGAGACACGAAUCCAGGCCCUACGGAAUGCAGCAGGCGCGAAAACUUUACAAUGCGGGAAACCGUGAUAAGGGAAUCUCGAGUGCCAGCAUAUAAUGUUGGCUGUCCAGAUGCCUAAAAAGCAUCUGUUAGCAAGGGCCGGGCAAGACCGGUGCCAGCCGCCGCGGUAACACCGGCGGCCCGAGUGGUAACCGCUUUUAUUGGGUCUAAAGGGUCUGUAGCCGGCC